rnacentral:rRNA from 1 species
GACGAACGCUGGCGGCGUGCCUAAUACAUGCAAGUAGAACGCACAGUUUAUACCGUAGCUUGCUACACCAUAAACUGUGAGUUGCGAACGGGUGAGUAACGCGUAGGUAACCUGCCUGGUAGCGGGGGAUAACUAUUGGAAACGAUAGCUAAUACCGCAUAAUAUUAAUUAUUGCAUGAUAAUUGAUUGAAAGAUGCAAUUGCAUCACUACCAGAUGGACCUGCGUUGUAUUAGCUAGUAGGUGAGGUAACGGCUCACCUAGGCGACGAUACAUAGCCGACCUGAGAGGGUGAUCGGCCACACUGGGACUGAGACACGGCCCAGACUCCUACGGGAGGCAGCAGUAGGGAAUCUUCGGCAAUGGACGAAAGUCUGACCGAGCAACGCCGCGUGAGUGAAGAAGGUUUUCGGAUCGUAAAGCUCUGUUGUAAGAGAAGAACGGGUGUGAGAGUGGAAAGUUCACACUGUGACGGUAUCUUACCAGAAAGGGACGGCUAACUACGUGC